rnacentral:rRNA from 1 species
UACGUAGGGGGCAAGCGUUGUCCGGAAUCAUUGGGCGUAAAGAGCGUGUAGGCGGCCCGGUAAGUCCGCUGUGAAAGUCCAGGGCUCAACCCUGGAAUGCCGGUGGAAACUGUCGGGCUAGAGUCCGGAAGAGGCGAGUGGAAUUCCUGGUGUAGCGGUGAAAUGCGCAGAUAUCUGGAGGAACACCGGUGGCGAAGGCGGCAUCCUGGACCGGCAUUGACGCUGAGGCGCGAAAGCCAGGGGAGCAAAGCGGG